rnacentral:rRNA from 1 species
UACAGAGGGGGCAAGCGUUGUUCGGAAUUACUGGGCGUAAAGGGCGCGUAGGCGGCCUGCUAAGUCGAACGUGAAAUCCCCGAGCUCAACUCGGGAACUGCGUCCGAUACUGAAAGGCUUGAAUCCGGGAGAGGGAUGUGGAAUUCCAGGUGUAGCGGUGAAAUGCGUAGAUAUCUGGAGGAACACCGGUGGCGAAGGCGGCAUCCUGGACCGGCAUUGACGCUGAGGCGCGAAAGCUAGGGGAGCAAACGGG